GAUGAACGCUGGCGGCGUGCCUAAUACAUGCAAGUCGAGCGAACGGACGAGAAGCUUGCUUUUCUGAUGUUAGCGGCGGACGGGUGAGUAACACGUGGAUAACCUACCUAUAAGACUGGGAUAACUUCGGGAAACCGGAGCUAAUACCGGAUAAUAUUUUGAACCGCAUGGUUCAAAAGUGAAAGACGGUCUUGCUGUCACUUAUAGAUGGAUCCGCGCUGCAUUAGCUAGUUGGUAAGGUAACGGCUUACCAAGGCAACGAUGCAUAGCCGACCUGAGAGGGUGAUCGGCCACACUGGAACUGAGACACGGUCCAGACUCCUACGGGAGGAAGCAGUAGGGAAUCUUCCGCAAUGGGCGAAAGCCUGACGGAGCAACGCCGCGUGAGUGAUGAGGGUCUUCGGAUCGUAAAACUCUGUUAUUAGGGAAGAACAUAUGUGUAAGUAACUGUGCACAUCUUGACGGUACCUAAUCAGAAAGCCACGGCUAACUACGUG
rnacentral:rRNA from 1 species